GACGAACGCUGGCGGCGUGCUUAACACAUGCAAGUCGAACGGUGAAGGGACUGGUUUUUGCUGGUUCUGGAUGAGUGGCGAACGGGUGAGUAACACGUGAGUAACCUGCCCCCUUCUUCUGGAUAACCGCAUGAAAGUGUGGCUAAUACGGGAUAUUCUGCGCCUGCUGCAUGGUGGGUGUGGGAAAGAUGCGCCUUUGGGUGUUUUUGGUGGGGGCUGGGCUCGCGGCCUAUCAGCUUGUUGGUGGGGUGAUGGCCUACCAAGGCGGUGACGGGUAGCCGGCCUGAGAGGGUGGACGGUCACACUGGGACUGAGACACGGCCCAGACUCCUACGGGAGGCAGCAGUGGGGAAUAUUGCACAAUGGGCGCAAGCCUGAUGCAGCGACGCCGCGUGAGGGAUGGAGGCCUUCGGGUUGUAAACCUCUUUCGCCAGUGAAGCAGGCCUGUCCCUUGUGGGUGGGUUGACGGUAGCUGGAUAAGAAGCGCCGGCUAACUACGUGCCAGCAGCCGCGGUAAGAC
rnacentral:rRNA from 1 species